rnacentral:rRNA from 1 species
UGUGUAGGCGGUUGCGUAAGUCUGGUGUGAAAUCUUCACCGCUUAACGGGAAGAGGUCACUGGAAACUGCGUAACUCGAGUAUGGUAGAGGCAAGCGGAAUUCCUGGUGUAGCGGUGGAAUGUGUAGAUAUCAGGAAGAACAUCUGUGGCGAAGGCGGCUUGCUGGGCCAUCACUGACGCUGAGACACGAAAGCGUGGGGAGCGAACGGGAUUAGAUACCCCGGUAGUCCACGCUGUAAACGGUGCGCACUAGGUGUGAGGGGUAUCGACCCCCCUUGUGCCGAAGUUAACACAUUAAGUGCGCCGCCUGGGGAGUACGGCCGCAAGGUUGAA